GAUGAACGCUGGCGGCGUGCCUAAUACAUGCAAGUCGAGCGAACGGACGAGAAGCUUGCUUCUCUGAUGUUAGCGGCGGACGGGUGAGUAACACGUGGAUAACCUACCUAUAAGACUGGGAUAACUUCGGGAAACCGGAGCUAAUACCGGAUGAUAUUUUGAACCGCCUGUUUCAAAUUAAAACGACGAUCUUGCUUUGACUUAUCGAUGGUCCGGCGCUGCAUUAGCUAGUGGGAAAGGUAACGAAUUCCCAAGGCAACGAGGCAUAGCCGACCUGAGAGGGGGAUCGGCCACACUGGAACUGAGACACGGUCCAGACUCCUACGGGAGGCAGCAGAAGGGAAUCUUCCGCAAUGGGCGAAAGCCUGACGUAGCAACGCCGCGUGAGUGAUGAAGGUCUUCGGAUCGUAAAACUCUGUUAUUAGGGAAGAACAUAUGUGUAAGUAACUGUGCACAUCUUGACGGUACCUAAUCAGAAAGCCACGGCUAACUACGUG
rnacentral:rRNA from 1 species